AGGAGAUGGACAAACCAUGUGGGUGCCCUCCAGGUGUGUGCGACCAUGAAAUGGGAGACUAGCAGGACCCACGUUGGCCAACCGUGGACCUGGUCCCUCCAGUAGGAGUCGUGAGCCAGCUGAAUUUGAAUGCAAAGAUGGAGCAAGGGCCGACUGGAGUCACACUGACAUCCACCCCCAUAACAUGGGGACAGAUCAAGAAAACAAAGCAGGAAGCUGAGAAAAUGCUGGAGCAUCCAUGUGCUUGGCCAUGUUAGCAGUAGUGUCCUGUGAGGAUUGAUUUCCAAAAACUCCUGUUACAUGAG
rnacentral:lncRNA from 10 species